rnacentral:rRNA from 1 species
UACGUAGGGGGCAAGCGUUGUCCGGAUUUAUUGGGCGUAAAGAGCGUGUAGGCGGUCAGGUAGGUCCGUUGUGAAAACUCGAGGCUCAACCUCGAGACGCCGAUGGAAACCAUCUGACUAGAGUCCGGAAGAGGAGAGUGGAAUUCCUGGUGUAGCGGUGAAAUGCGCAGAUAUCAGGAAGAACACCCGUGGCUAAGGCGGCUCCUCUAGUACGGUACUGACGCUGAGACGCGAAAGCGUGGGAGCGAACAGGAUAGAACCUUGGUAGUCAGAC